rnacentral:rRNA from 2 species
CGUGCUAUACAUGCAGUCGAGCGAACAGAUAAGGAGCUUGCUCCUUUGACGUUAGCGGCGGACGGGUGAGUAACACGUGGGUAACCUACCUAUAAGACUGGGAUAACUUCGGGAAACCGGAGCUAAUACCGGAUAACAUUUGGAACCGCAGGGUUCUAAAGUGAAAGAUGGUUUUGCUAUCACUUAUAGAUGGACCCGCGCCGUAUUAGCUAGUUGGUAAGGUAACGGCUUACCAAGGCGACGAUACGUAGCCGACCUGAGAGGGUGAUCGGCCACACUGGAACUGAGACACGGUCCAGACUCCUACGGGAGGCAGCAGUAGGGAAUCUUCCGCAAUGGGCGAAAGCCUGACGGAGCAACGCCGCGUGAGUGAUGAAGGGUUUCGGCUCGUAAAACUCUGUUAUUAGGGAAGAACAAACGUGUAAGUAACUGUGCACGUCUUGACGGUACCUAAUCAAAAAGCCACGGCUAACUACGUGCCAGCAGCCGCGGUAAUACGUAGGUGGCAAGCGUUAUCCGGAAUUAUUGGGCGUAAAGCGCGCGUAGGCGGUUUCUUAAGUCUGAUGUGAAAGCCCACGGCUCAACCGUGGAGGGUCAUUGGAAACUGGGAAACUUGAGUGCAGAAGAGGAAAGUGGAAUUCCAUGUGUAGCGGUGAAAUGCGCAGAGAUAUGGAGGAACACCAGUGGCGAAGGCGACUUUCUGGUCUGUAACUGACGCUGAUGUGCGAAAGCGUGGGGAUCAAACAGGAUUAGAUACCCUGGUAGUCCACGCCGUAAACGAUGAGUGCUAAGUGUUACGGGGUUUCCGCCCCUUAGUGCUGCAGCUAACGCAUUAAGCACUCCGCCUGGGGAGUACGACCGCAAGGUUGAAACUCAAAGGAAUUGACAGGGACCCGCACAAGC